rnacentral:rRNA from 1 species
AUUGAACGCUGGCGGCAGGCCUAACACAUGCAAGUCGAGCGAGCGGCGGACGGGUGAGUAAUGUAUGGGGACUGCCCGAUAGAGGGGGAGAACUACUGGAAACGGUGGCUAAUACCGCAUACUAUCGGAUAACCCAUAUGGGAUUAGCUAGUAGGUGGGGUAAAGGCUCACCUAGGCGACGAUGUCCAGCUGGUCCGAGAGGAUGAUCAGCCACACUGGGACGGAAACACGGCCAAGACUCCUACGGAGGCAGCAGUGGGUAUUAUUGCACAAUGGGCGCAAGCCGGAUGCAGCCAUGCCGCUGGUAUGAGGAGGGCCUUAGGGUUGUAAAGUACUUUCAGCGGGGAGGCGUUACCCGCAGAAGAAGCACCGGCUAACUCCGUGCCAGCCGCCGCGGUAAUAC